GAUGAACGCUGGCGGCAUGCUUUACACAUGCAAGUCGAACGGUAACAGGUUAAGCUGACGAGUGGCGAACGGGUGAAUAAUGCAUCGGAACGUGCCCGAUCGUGGGGGAUAACGCAGCGAAAGCUGCGCUAAUACCGCAUACGAUCUGAGGAUGAAAGCGGGGGACCGUAAGGCCUCGCGCGAUCGGAGCGGCCGAUGUCAGAUUAGGUAGUUGGUGGGGUAAAGGCUCACCAAGCCGACGAUCUGUAGCUGGUCUGAGAGGACGACCAGCCACACUGGGACUGAGACACGGCCCAGACUCCUGCGGGAGGCAGCAGUGGGGAAUUGUGGACAAUGGGCGAAAGCCUGAUCCAGCAAUGCCGCGUGCAGGAAGAAGGCCUUCGGGUUGUGAACUGCUUUUGUACGGAGCGAAAAGGCUCUCUCUAAUACAGGGGGCUUAUGACGGUACCGUAAGAAUAAGCACUGGCUAACUACGUGCCAGCCGCCGCCGUAACAC
rnacentral:rRNA from 1 species